rfam:Oryza glaberrima chromosome 2 Oglab02_0447_1, whole genome shotgun sequence.
AUAUAAUGCAACCAUGAGUUUCCGUGCCUAACUUUGAUUGUCCAUUUUAUUUGAAAUUUUUUUAUAAUUAGUAUUUUUAUUGUUAUGAGAUGAUAAAAUAUGAAUAGGACUUUAUGCGUGACUUAUGUUUCAAAAAAAUUCAAAUCAUUUUCAAAUAAGACUGACGAUCAAAAUUGUACAUGGAAAAUCAUGGCUGCACUUAAA